UUCCCCGCCUCACCGAGCGCUCGCCCUUCGCCCCGCUGCAGGGGGGCGUGCGGGGCCGCUCGGCGCUCCCGGCUGCACCCUCCCCGCCAGCCGUUCGGAGACGGCCUGGCGCCGGGGCCUGGACGUCCUCCCGCCCGAGUGCCCCGCCGGGCGCUGCGGGCCCGGUCCGGGAGGGGCGCCGCAUCUGUAUGCGCCCGGCGGCCCGGCAGCGCCGCCCNNNNNNNNNNNNNNNNNNNNNNNNNNNNNNNNNNNNNNNNNNNNNNNNNNNNNNNNNNNNNNNNNNNNNNNNAGCCGCGGCGCCCGCUCCGAUCGGCUCGGGGCUGCGCCCCCGGGACCCGGCGACGGGGGCGGGCGGGGACGCUCCCCGCCGGCCUGGGCCCCUCGGCACCGCCAGGUAAGGGCGCCUGCCCCGGAGCCCGGGGUCGGGAACCCGCGGAGGGGCAGCAGGGGGCCCGCAGCCUGCGGGUGUCUUCAGAGCGGUGCGCUCCGUGGCUGGGAGCCCACUGCCGGCUCCCUUCUCCCGCGCUCUACCUCUUUCCCUUCUUCCCUCGCACCUCUCUCCCUCCUUUCCCCAUUUUCCUCUCCCUCGGUUUCUCUUCACCCUGCCUUGUCUCUGCCUGUUUGCCUCUUCUGCCCCUUCCCUCUCCCUCUUGCCCUGUCUCUCCACCUCCUCUUCCUCUUUGCCUUUUCCUUCCUCUACCUUUCCUUUCCUGUCUUUCUCUUUGCCUUUUCCCGCUCUCCUUUCCUUCCCCCGUCUCUUCCCUCUCGCCGCCUCUUCCCUUCUCUCUAUCCUGUUUCCUACUCCUCCAGCCCUUUCCUUCUCCUUCUCGUCCUGCCUCCCGCUCUGGUCCCCGGCUUCCCUCUUCCCUCGGGAGGGAAGGGACUGGCAGGUGUGUGUCUGCUGUGGGGGAGGAGGGGCGGCAGCCACAGCUACCUGAGGGGUCCCCCCAGGAGGAGAGGGAGGGGACAGCAGUGAGAAGGGUCCCCUCUCCAGCUCCCUUCCCCAAGCCCCUCCUGGCUGCCCCCUCUCUCAGAUUGAAGUUCCCGAGGCCUGCUCUGACCCCCACAGCUGAGGGCUACCCCCCACCUGCCCAUCACUUGCAGAAAGCCCCUCUGCCCCCCUCCUACCCAUUCCCAAGCCUGUUACCUAUGACUCCUCUCUGCCUGUCAGACACCCAGGCUGCCUCCUUUGAUCUCUUUCCUUGUGUCUCUUGCUGCCAUUCUGUCUCAGUCUGUGCCGGACAGUGCCUGAGUCUGGGUCUCACCAUCACUAGCACUGAGUCUGUAGUCUCUGCUCUCCUCUCCCAGCCUCCUGGCCCUGCCCCCAGCUCUACACCCUCUUCUUUCUUCCCCUCACACUGCCUCCUGAGCCCAGUCCCCCUUCAAGGACUUCACCUAGCAGUGUGGGUUGGGGGCAGGUUCCGGAGAGGUGGGGUUCCCUAUGGAGGAGGGACUUCCAGAGGCUUUCAACCCUGUCUCAGCCUGCACGCCUUGUCAUAG
rnacentral:lncRNA from 1 species